rnacentral:rRNA from 1 species
GAUGAACGCUGGCGGCGUGCCUAAUACAUGCAAGUCGAGCGAACGGACGAGAAGCUUGCUUCUCUGAUGUUAGCGGCGGACGGGUGAGUAACACGUGGAUAACCUACCUAUAAGACUGGGAUAACUUCGGGAAACCGGAGCUAAUACCGGAUAAUAUUUUGAACCGCAUGGUUCAAAAGUGAAAGACGGUCUUGCUGUCACUUAUAGAUGGAUCCGCGCUGCAUUAGCUAGUUGGUAAGGUAACGGCUUACCAAGGCAACGAUGCAUAGCCGACCUGAGAGGGUGAUCGGCCACACUGGAACUGAGACACGGUCCAGACUCCUACGGGAGGCAGCAGUAGGGAAUCUUCCGCAAUGGGCGAAAGCCUGACGGAGCAACGCCGCGUGAGUGAUGAAGGUCUUCGGAUCGUAAAACUCUGUUAUUAGGGAAGAACAUAUGUGUAAGUAACUGUGCACAUCUUGACGGUACCUAAUCAGAAAGCCACGGCUAACUACGUGCCAGCAGCCGCGGUAAUACGUAGGUGGCAAGCGUUAUCCGGAAUUAUUGGGCGUAAAGCGCGCGUAGGCGGUUUUCUAAGUCUGAUGUGAAAGCCCACGGCUCAACCGUGGAGGGUCAUUGGAAACUGGAAAACUUGAGUGCAGAAGAGGAAAGUGGAAUUCCAUGUGUAGCGGUGAAAUGCGCAGAGAUAUGGAGGAACACCAGUGGCGAAGGCGACUUUCUGGUCUGUAACUGACGCUGAUGUGCGAAAGCGUGGGGAUCAAACAGGAUUAGAUACCCUGGUAGUCCACGCCGUAAACGAUGAGUGCUAAGUGUUAGGGGGUUUCCGCCCCUUAGUGCUGCAGCUAACGCAUUAAGCACUCCGCCUGGGGAGUACGACCGCAAGGUUGAAACUCAAAGGAAUUGACGGGGACCCGCACAAGCGGUGGAGCAUGUGGUUUAAUUCGAAGCAACGCGAAGAACCUUACCAAAUCUUGACAUCCUUUGACAACUCUAGAGAUAGAGCCUUCCCCUUCGGGGGACAAAGUGACAGGUGGUGCAUGGUUGUCGUCAGCUCGUGUCGUGAGAUGUUGGGUUAAGUCCCGCAACGAGCGCAACCCUUAAGCUUAGUUGCCAUCAUUAAGUUGGGCACUCUAAGUUGACUGCCGGUGACAAACCGGAGGAAGGUGGGGAUGACGUCAAAUCAUCAUGCCCCUUAUGAUUUGGGCUACACACGUGCUACAAUGGACAAUACAAAGGGCAGCGAAACCGCGAGGUCAAGCAAAUCCCAUAAAGUUGUUCUCAGUUCGGAUUGUAGUCUGCAACUCGACUACAUGAAGCUGGAAUCGCUAGUAAUCGUAGAUCAGCAUGCUACGGUGAAUACGUUCCCGGGUCU